rnacentral:rRNA from 1 species
CGUGUAGGCGGUCAAGCAAGUGGAAUGUGAAAUCCCUCGGCUCACCCGAGGACCUGCAUUCCAAACUGCUUAGCUUGAGUAUGGGAGAGGAUGAGGGAAUUCCUGGUGUAGCGGUGAAAUGCGUAGAUAUCAGGAGGAACACCGGUGGCGAAGGCGCUCAUCUGGCCCAAUACUGACGCUGAGGCGCGAAAGCUAGGGGAGCAAACG